rnacentral:misc_RNA from 1 species
AAGUCGUAACAAGGUUUCCGUAGGUGAACCUGCGGAAGGAUCAUUAACACGUAUCCAAACGUUAAAACCCCCCCCGUGAACCUUCAUCCUGCUCUUGUAACCCGCGUAGUUCGCAAUCUCUGAUAAAUCAUAGCCCGGAAAGUUGUAGUGAUUCAGAGACCUCUGGCUCCACAGUUUAAUGUGAAGCUCAAUGUAAUACAUUGGGUAAAAAAACCGAACAACUGUUAACAAUGGAUAUCUUGGUUCUC